rnacentral:sRNA from 1 species
AACGUGAUGAGAGUGCCCUUCCCCCCAGGGACACAUGGCGGCCCAGGCUCCACCAGCUCUGUUUUCGUGCGGCGGCAGGUCAGGCUGGGCAGAAUUGUCAGGCCGAGGGUGGCACGCACACCACACCUCUCCAGCUAGUGUCAGAGGCCACCUUCCCUUUUAUGACCUCCUGGGCUCCUUUGGGACUGACUGGCACCUCUUCCCCCAGGACCUGCAAGCGCAGGACCGAGCCCACCGCAUCGGGCAGCAGAACGAGGUGCGUGUGCUCCGCCUCUGCACCGUCAACAGCGUGGAGGAGAAGAUCCUAGCUGCAGCCAAGUACAAGCUCAACGUGGACCAGAAGGUGAUCCAGGCCGGCAUGUUCGACCAGAAGUCCUCCAGCCACGAGCGGCGCGCCUUCCUGCAGGCCAUCCUGGAGCACGAGGAGCAGGACGAGAGCAGACACUGCAGCACGGGCAGCGGCAGUGCCAGCUUCGCCCACACUGCCCCUCCGCCAGCGGGCGUCAACCCCGACUUGGAGGAGCCACCUCUAAAGGAGGAAGACGAGGUGCCCGACGAC